rnacentral:rRNA from 1 species
AAGGGGGCUAGCGUUGUUCGGAAUUACUGGGCGUAAAGCGCACGUAGGCGGACAUUUAAGUCAGGGGUGAAAUCCCGGGGCUCAACCCCGGAACUGCCUCUGAUACUGGGUGUCUUGAGUGUGGUAGAGGUGAGUGGAAUUGCGAGUGUAGAGGUGAAAUUCGUAGAUAUUCACAGGAACACCAGUGGCGAAGGCGGCUCACUGGACCACAACUGACGCUGAGGUGCGAAAGCGUGGGGAGCAAACAGGAUUAGAUAACCUGGUAGUCCACGCGGUAGACGAUGGAAGC